rnacentral:lncRNA from 1 species
UGACCAAGGUCUUAGAGAAGGGGCUGCUAGAGGCAGUUAUGCCAAAAAGACGGGUUUUCCAUGACCACGAGCAGACUAGGUUGUGAGGGAAGGAAGGCACUCUUUUUGCAAUUAUGCCGCGUCUGUUGCAAGAAUAGGCUCUUAGCCUGAUGACUUUCCUGCUUUACUUGAUUGCCAUUGCCUUUUUAACUGGGUUUACUGCUUUACGGAUAAGGAAUUCAAGGUCGUUGGGAAGAUCAUAAGCUGGUCUAGGAGCCGAAAGAGCUCAACUUACUUAGUUGUAGAGGGCGAAAAGGAGGCUCGACCCACAGGG